GCCAGUGUGGUGUAGUGGUCUAAGUGUUGAACUAGGAUGCCAGAGACCAGGGUUCAAAUCCCCACUCAGCCA